AGACUGUUAUAAACUUUAUCACAUAGUUUAGGAUAAACUUCAAAUAUCAUCCAUAUAGUUUCGCGCUUUCUACUUUAGUAUUCUAUGAUUUAAAGUGUAUCACUUUACUGCAGUUUUGUCAGUAUCUUUGUUAACUUUUCGUUAAAUCAUAUAUGAAAAACUUCAGAUACUCUAUCUAUGGCUUAUCAAAUAUUCAUUUUAGUAUUUUUUGGUUUGCUGAAUUUCCACUUUAGUACUCCGAGGUUUCAACUUUGUCACUAAUUUAACGAAAAAAUUAACGAAGGGGAUAACAAAACGAGAAAACCGAAACCACAAGAUACUAAUUAAAGUGAUACAUUUUAACCUAUAGGAUACUAAAAUGAAUAAGUACAAAACUAUAGGGGUUGUAUUUGAAGUUUUUCCAAUAGUAUAAAAAAACACUUUAUACAGUUGAAAUUAUUAAUUACACAGUCUUUUUCGUCGUAUAUCAUGUAUAUAAUUCAGACCCCUCAACUAUUUAUUUCUUAGAACUUAAAUAAUUUAAGUCAACAAAUUUAAAAAUUUUAUC
rnacentral:lncRNA from 1 species